rnacentral:rRNA from 1 species
AUUGAACGCUGGCGGCAGGCUUAACACAUGCAAGUCGAGCGGAGAUGAGGUGCUUGCACCUUAUCUUAGCGGCGGACGGGUGAGUAAUGCUUAGGAAUCUGCCUAUUAGUGGGGGACAACAUUCCGAAAGGAAUGCUAAUACCGCAUACGCCCUACGGGGGAAAGCAGGGGAUCUUCGGACCUUGCGCUAAUAGAUGAGCCUAAGUCAGAUUAGCUAGUUGGUGGGGUAAAGGCCUACCAAGGCGACGAUCUGUAGCGGGUCUGAGAGGAUGAUCCGCCACACUGGGACUGAGACACGGCCCAGACUCCUACGGGAGGCAGCAGUGGGGAAUAUUGGACAAUGGGCGAAAGCCUGAUCCAGCCAUGCCGCGUGUGUGAAGAAGGCCUUUUGGUUGUAAAGCACUUUAAGCGAGGAGGAGGCUACCGAGAUUAAUACUCUUGGAUAGUGGACGUUACUCGCAGAAUAAGCACCGGCUAACUCUGUGCCAGCCGCCGCGGUAAGAC